rnacentral:misc_RNA from 1 species
GCAAACUUGGUCAUUUAGAGGAAGUAAAAGUCGUAACAAGGUUUCCGUAGGUGAACCUGCGGAAGGAUCAUUACGGAGAGAUAAACCCCCCGCAAUAAAAAGGGAGAGGGACCUCCUGUCCUUACAGGCUCCUUUUAAGGGGCUUUUUUUUGACUUUCUGCUUCGGUGGGAUUAUCCCACCGGAACAACCUCAAAACUCUGAAAAAACUUUGCUGUCUGAGGAUCUCUUUUAUAAUAAAAAAAAACUUUCAACAACGGAUCUCUUGGUUCUGGCAUCGAUGAAGAACGCAGC